UACAGAGGGUGCGAGCGUUAAUCGGAAUUACUGGGCGUAAAGGGCUCGUAGGCGGCCAACUAAGUCAGACGUGAAAUCCCCAGGCUUAACCUGGGAACUGCGUCUGAUACUGGAUGGCUUGAAUUCGGGAGAGGGAUGCAGAAUUCCAGGUGUAGCGGUGAAAUGCGUAGAUAUCUGGAGGAACACCGGUGGCGAAGGCGGCAUCCUGGACCGACACUGACGCUGAGGCGCGAAAGCCAGGGGAGCAAACGGG
rnacentral:rRNA from 1 species